AGCAGCCGCGGUAAUUCCAGCUCCAAUAGCGUAUAUUAAAGUUGUUGCAGUUAAAAAGCUCGUAGUUGAACUUCGGGGUUCACCCAUUGGUCAGGCUUAAUUGUCUGUACUGGUGAGAUGAGUCUCUACCUUCUGAGGAACUUUUAUGCCAUUAAUUUGGUGUGAUGGGAAAUCAGGACUGUUACUUUGAAAAAUUAGAGUGUUUAAAGCAGGCUAAACGUCUGAAUACAUUAGCAUGGAAUAAUGAAAUAGGACGGAUUGAUUCUAUUUCGUUGGUUUCUAGGGUCACCGUAAUGAUUAAUAGGGAUAGUUGGGGGCAUUAGUAUUCAAUUGUCAGAGGUGAAAUUCUUGGAUUUAUUGAAGACUAACUACUGCGAAAGCAUUUGCCAAGGAUGUUUUCAUUAAUCAAGAACGAAAGUUAGGGGAUCGAAGACGAUCAGAUACCGUCGUAGUCUUAACCAUAAACUAUGCCGACUAGGGAUCGGACGAAGUUAAUAAUAAUGACGCGUUCGGCACCUUA
rnacentral:rRNA from 1 species